rnacentral:rRNA from 1 species
GAUGAACGCUGGCGGCGUGCCUAAUACAUGCAAGUCGAGCGAACGGACGAGAAGCUUGCUUCUCUGAUGUUAGCGGCGGACGGGUGAGUAACACGUGGAUAACCUCCCUAUAAGACUGGGAUAACUUCGGGAAACCGGAGCUAAUCCCGGAUAAUCUUUUGCACCGCAUGGUUCAAUAGUGAAAGACGGUCUUGCUGUCACUUCUCGAUGGAUCCGCGCUGCAUUAGCUAGUUGGUAAGGUCAAGGCCUACCAAGGCAACGAUGCAUAGCCGACCUGUGAGGGGGGUCGGCCACACUGGAGCGUGACCAGCGACCUGGGGCCUGCGGGAGGCAGCAGAAGGUAACCUGCCGCAGUAGUGGAGAGCCUGACGGAGCGGCGCCAAGUGAGAUGUAAAGAUGUUGGGAUCGGAAAACUCGGUUAUUAGUGAUGAACAUAUUUGUAAGGAACUGUGCACAGCGUGACGGUACCGAAUCAGAAAGCCACGGCUAACUACGUG